rnacentral:rRNA from 1 species
GUGGGGAAUAUUGCGCAAUGGGCGAAAGCCUGACGCAGCGACGCCGCGUGGGUGAUGAAGGCCUUCGGGUCGUAAAGCCUUGUUGGAGAGGGACGAACAACUCAGGGGAACAACACCCCCUGGGCCUGACGGUACCUCUUCAGAAAGCACCGGCUAACUCCGUGCCAGCAGCCGCGGUAAUACGGAGGGUGCGAACGUUGUUCGGAAUUACUGGGCGUAAAGCGCGUGUAGGCGGCUUGGCAAGUCAGAUGUGAAAGCCCUCGGCUCAACCGAGGAAGUGCAUUUGAAACUGCCAGGAUAGAGUACGGGAGAGGGUUGUGGAAUUCCCGGUGUAGAGGUGAAAUUCGUAGAUAUCGGGAGGAACAUCGGUGGCGAAGGCGGCAACCUGGACCGAUACUGACGCUGAGACGCGAAAGCGUGGGGAGCAAACAGGAUUAGAAACCCUGGUAGUCC